UACGGAGGGUGCAAGCGUUGUUCGGAAUCAUUGGGCGUAAAGCGCGUGUAGGCGGCCAUGUAAGUCUGGUGUGAAAGCCCGGGGCUCAACCCCGGAAGUGCACUGGAUACUGCGUGGCUAGAGGACGAGAGAGGGAAGCGGAAUUCCUGGUGUAGGGGUGAAAUCCGUAGAUAUUCGGAGGAACACCAGUGGCGAAGGCGGCUCACUGGCUCGAUACUGACGCUGAGGUGCGAAAGUGUGGGGAGCAAACAGG
rnacentral:rRNA from 1 species